rnacentral:sRNA from 1 species
GCUGGAGCUGAAGUGGCAGCACUGGCAUGAGGAAUGUGAGCGGUACCUCCAGGACAGCACAUUCGCCACCAGCCCUCACCUGGAGUCUCUCUUGAAGGUCUGGGAAGCAGUUCAGAUUGCAUCCAUGUUGGCUUCCUAUGGGGGCUGUGGCAUCCAGUGCAGCAGUGGCAGGAGCUUGGUCCUCCUUGGAUAGGGCUGUCUGUUGCUCUGCCUUGAUGGCGAGAGCUUUCAGACUAGUUGAAAUCCAGUGCCCUUAGCUGAGAGCAGGAGCAUUAUGGAGAAGGUACCCCUGAGAGGAGGACAGAGUUCAGCACAAAUGUCUCUCCUCAGAUUAUGCUGGGAGACGAAGCUGCCUUGUUAGAGCAGAAGGAACUUCUGAGUAAUUGGUAUCAUUUCCUAGUGACUCGGCUCUUGUACUCCAAUCCCACAGUAAAACCCAUUGAUCUGCACUACUAUGCCCAGUCCAGCCUGGACCUGUUUCUGGGAGGUGAGAGCAGCCCAGAACCCCUGGACAACAUCUUGUUGGCAGCCUUUGAGUUUGACAUCCAUCAAGUAAUCAAAGAGUGCAGCAUCGCCCUGAGCAACUGGUGGUUUGUGGCCCACCUGACAGACCUGCUGGACCACUGCAAGCUCCUCCAGUCACACAACCUCUAUUUCGGUUCCAACAUGAGAGAGUUCCUCCUGCUGGAGUACGCCUCGGGACUGUUUGCUCAUCCCAGCCUGUGGCAGCUGGGGGUCGAUUACUUUGAUUACUGCCCCGAGCUGGGCCGAGUCUCCCUGGAGCUGCACAUUGAGCGGAUACCUCUGAACACCGAGCAGAAAGCCCUGAAGGUGCUGCGGGUCUGUGAGCAGCGGCAGAUGACUGAACA